ensembl:lncRNA
GGGGGUGGGAGGGAGUCUCCGUGUUGCUCUUACUGGUCUGGAAGUGAUGUAGGAGAAAUUUGAAGUGGCAAAAUUAGAGCUAUAAAGGAUUUACUAAUAAACAUGCUUUGUAAAUAUCAAGCUACAUAUAAAGUAGAAUUUAGCAAAGAGAAGGCUGCUGCCAGUGACUGGAGAUAAGGAGUGUAUGUAAACAGAAUUAGAUAGUAUGAGAAAGAAAAUUUGUACCAUGACUGGAAGUUUAGAGUUGCUAAGAAAGUACCUCUUAGUACUACUCAGCGGAAAAAAAAAAAAAAAUGGAAUCUUGAAAUUUGCAGGAAAAUGGAUGGAACUAGAAGAAACCAACCACAAAAAGACAAACAUGAUAUGUACUCACUCAUAUGUGGAUUUUAGACAUAGAGCAAAGGAUUACCAGCCUACAAUCCACACUGCCAGAGAAGCCAGUAAACAAGGAGGACCCUAAGAGAGACAUACAUGAUCCUCUGGAGAAGGGGAAAGGGACAAGAUCUCCUGAGCAAAUUGGGAGCACGGGAAGAGGAGAGAGCUAGGAGAACGAGAAAGGAAGCAGAGGAGGGAUGCAGAGGACAUGAGGGAGCAGAAAGUUUGAGUCAGGGGAAGAAUAGAAGAUAACAAGAAUGGAGAUACCAUAAUAGAGGGAGACAUUUUAGGUUUACAGAGAAAUCAGGCACUAGGGAAAUGUCUGGAGAUCUACAAAGAUGACACCAGCUAAUAAGCAACAGAGGGAGAGGCUACCUUAAAUGCUCUCUCCUGAUAAUGAGAUUGAUCACUGACUCACAUGCCAUCCAAUAGCCCUCAUCCAGCAGCUGGUGGAAGUAGAAGCAGACACCCACAACUAAUCACUGAACUGCACUGAAAUCCAGAUGCAGAGAAGGACUAAUGAAGAGCAAAGGGGUCCAGACCAGGCAGGUGAAACCCACAGAAACAGCUGACUUGAACAUUGGGGAACUCUUGGUCCCCAGACUGAUAGCUGGGAUACCAGCAUGGGACUGAUCCAGACUGGAACAUAGGUUUCGGUGAGGAAACCUCGGAAAUCUAUGGGACCUGCUGUAGUAGUUCAGUAGUUAUCCCUAGCAUAAGUGUGGACUUUGGGAGCCCAUUCCAUAUAGAGGAAUACUUCCUGAGCCAAGAUACACGGAGGUGGGCCUAGGCCCUAUCUUAAAGGAUAUGAUAGACUCUGAUGACACCCUAUGGAAGGCCUCACCAUCCCGGGGGAGCAAAAAGGAUAUGUGAGUGAUAGGGUUUUAGUUGGGAGGGGGGUAGGGGAGGAAGGGAGGAAGAGGGACCUGGGAUUGUCAUGUAAAACAAUCUUGUUUCUAAUUCAAAUAAAAAAAUCGGGGAAAAAAAGAAUCUCCUAAUAUAAUAAUAAACAUUACCAAGAUUGACCUCCUCUCAUCUCCAUGACCAUAAUAUAAGGAGACAACUCUGACUUGGAACCAGUCUGUAGUCCAUCCCCAUAUCAUAGAACAUGUAUCUAGCAGGCUGCUCAAAAGGACACUUGAGGGUCAUAUCCACUGUUAAGUCCUUGUCUGCAUUUAACUCCCCUGCACCUUGUCAGAAAAGUGUAAUUCUAUGAAUGGACAAGGUUAACCACAGUAACAACUGUUCGAACAAUACUGUUGUACUUAAGAAACAAUUCAGACAUUCUUUGCUAUGUAAAUGUCCCAGUUUAAAUUGUUCAAACUGUAACCAUCAGGGAGUUCUUGACCCCUGAAAAAGGAGCCUUCUACUCUUUUGAUGGGGUAUAAAAAGACUUUGAACAAUAAACAUGAGUGGUCCAGUAUUCACUGAAUGCCCCCCCCCCAAUCCUAUCUCCUGUGACUUGCUUAUUCCUUUCCUCAGCUCACACUCCCCUCUCAGGUCCCCUGACCCCACAGACGCCUCAGCAACACAGAUUACUACACCCUUCUCUUAAAUUUGUUUUGAGAAUGAGAGGUGCGGGAGCGGAGGGCAGAUGCAACUGGGAAAUGAAUGUGAUCAAGAUAAAUAAUGUAAAAGACAUAGAAUAAAUUUUUAAAAAGGAGGAAAAAAAAGAACAUAACCCUACCCCGGCUGUGAUGGCACACGCCUUUACUGCCAGCACUCGGGAGGCAGAGGCAGAGGCAGGCGGAUCCCUGUGAGUUGGAGGCCAGCCUGGUCUCCAGAGUGAGUUCCAGGACAAACAGGACCGUUACACAGAGUAAACCAAGGAGUAAAAAAGCAAGUUCACCAAGCCAACGGAGCGAGGGGGAGGGGAGGGUCGUGGUCUACGCAGAUGAGGUGCAGAAAAGCGCCCGGCAGGGUGGCACCUCCUCCUCCCAGGUGGGGGGCGGACGCACUGGUUGGCUGGGGACGGAGACGUCAUCCUUGAUGUCACGGAUGUGGGCGGUAUCUAUGCAGAUGAGGGUCGCGCAGGGGCUGCGGCGUCCGCACUCGCUGCAAGACAUGGAGGGAUUUCGCGCGCGGCCUGGGGGGAUCGCGGGUGGGCGGGCGUGAGCGUAGCGCAGGAGCGGGGUGCGCGUCGGCGGAGGCCCCGGAGCGCGCGCGGCGAAGUGACCGUGUGUUGAGAGCGCAGGGCCGGUGUGGCUGAUUCGGGCCUGCGCCUGUGGGAAGCAUACUUACCUGGCAGGGGAGAUACCAUGAUCAAGCAGGUGGUUUUCCCAGGGCGAGGCCCAUCCAUUGCACUUGGGGUGUGCUGACCCCUGCGAUUUCCCCAAAUGCGGGAAACUCGACUGCAUAAUUUGUGGUAGUGAGGGACUGCGUUCGCGCUCUCCCCUGGUAAUCUGGUUGCAAAGACAGUUUUGUUGUACUCAAGUUACACUUACUUAGUCUGUAACAUUUUCAGUUGAACAACAGCAACUGCCGUUUCUGACAAGAGAAAGCAUUUCUUUCUCCCUCCCCACCCAAGUUUUCCAUUAGUUAUUUCAGAUUACGAAAGUAAUUUGAGUUACGACUAAAGAAGGUCGAGCCCGCCGUUUUUCCGGGACCCUGCCUUCGAUUAUCUCAAUGGAUAUGUUGCAGUUAUUUUCUACACUACCUGGACACUCGUCCAGGGGUCUCCCCGAGAACCCUUCUUUCUCAGAGCGCAUAAAAUUCUGGUGACUGAGGCCCCAAAUUCGGUUGCCCGAAAGGCCACCUCCCUUUCCUGCUUGCUCCUUCGCCUUAGGCUAGCUCUCCUAGCGCCCCUGCUUGCUCUCCCAACUCUCUCCACCCCGUGGAUUGUCCCUGCUAAUGACGCAGGUUCGGGGAUCAGAUCACUGGCCUGGGUUUCCUUUUCCACAAACCAACUGCUCCUGCUUUCCAGUUCCAUGUGAUAAUUUCCUUGGCCCUUUUCUCUGUAGAGACAUCAGACAGCAAUGACGCCACCAAUGCCCAUCCCUGAUCCCUGAAUAAAACUUAAUGCAGGGUGCUAAAAAGAAACCCCUUGCCCUAUUUAUGCUUUUCCUGAUUUGUUCCAACUGUAUGCAGUUAAGUGCUGAUACUUUUCCAAAAGUAGAAUUUAAGAUUACGAUCUAUAACGGUAAUUUCAAGCGGUGAGAAUAUAGAGACCAUUUAUGGUGUCUACAUAAUGAAUAUAGGGAGACCAGUAAAUCAUGAGGACAUUUGAAAAACAAGUUUUCACCUGUCAUAGGAUGUUUCUCUGGUUUUAAACAAACACAUGGUUGUAUUUUAGUGCGGUAUGGGUGACACAGUGAUCCUGGGCUAAGCUGCCUUUGUUUCCAUAUGUUACUGCUCUCUCUAGUUUUCUCACACACCCCGUCUUAGUAACUGUGACUAAGGCUAAGCUGAUGGUUGAAGAGGCCAAACUAUCUCAUCCAAGUGUUAGCCAGAUCUGACUCCACCAAGGCCAUAGGUGAAGCAGUGAAUUUCACUGGGGUUACUUAGAGAAGCAGACUUGUGCGGAUGACAACUCACAAAAGCGGGGAACCUGGAGUGCACUGCACAGCCUGCAGGCAGCUCCACAGAAUAACAUUUGGCGCCCGGACGUGAAAAGGCUCUGCCCUUAUACCUUCUGCGACCUGCUGGCGGGCACAUGUUAGGCUAAGGGUAACCUUACAAUCCACUUCCAUCUCCGCUUUUCCUGGCACUUCCUCCUGCCUGCAGCAGCCUGAGAUGCCGGAACUCAACUCGCCGCUUUCCAACUAAGGAUCUCUUAAACUCACUGAUCUGCCUAUUCGCUACAAUCCGGUAAGAAACCCAAACUGUUCCCAUGGGGCAGACCCAGCGCUGUUCAAUCUGGGUCCAUUUUUCGGUUUCGGGCUGGGUGCUCUCAGACAGGGCAAUCUGUGCAUUUUUCGGCCUUGCCCACGGGAAAUACAUUUUUACGAGAUCUUUCGGUUACUGGCAGCGAAUAGGUAAAUGAGCGGAGUUCUGCCUCCCAGUGGGAACUUUCUUUCACCUGGGAAUGUCCCUCAUUGUUCUGUUUGUUCUUUCUCUGACUGUUUCUUCUUGGUUGGCAAUGUCUGCUUGAGACGCUCUAAGAGUUUUUGUUUGUUUGCUGGUUUUCAUUUUGUUUGUUUACUGGUUUGAAACUUUUCUGGCAAUUGAGAAUGUGCUUACGGGGGUCGCCAUCGGCCACGUGUGCUAACCUGGGGGCCGCCAUCUUGGUCAUAACCAGGUGACCUGGCUUAGGCCUACCCACUCAGUUCAAUGACUUCCACCGGCAAGCACUGCCACCUGACAUCCUACUUUUUAUAUCUUUCACUUGUUGGGUGCAUUUCCUAAAGGUCAGGCAAGGGAUCCCGCUCCAGGAGCGGUGCUUUUUUCAGUUCGGACUGCUGGGUCCUUUUUCGGUUUCGGGACAGCUGUGUCCCCUUCGGGGCCAGGCCCCUGGCAACUCCCACGGGCAGACGUGCAUCCGUAGAGGAGCUUUUUGCCGGUUCUCCACCUGCCUCACCCAUGGGAAAUGCACAGAGGAACCUUUCUGGUUUCAUCCAACAAGCAGGUAAACAGACAAAAGCGGCUUACAGUUGCCGCCGUUUUGGUCAUGUGACCUACCUGUAGGCACGCACAGCUCCAGUGGCCUAUCGAACAAACCUGUCUGCCGGAGUUUUGAUUUCUGCCAGAUCUUUUUGCUUUUUAUUUUUAUUUUUUGUCUUUUUCUUUCACUGGCUCUGUUGUUCAUGGCUUGUUUACUAAAUACUGUGCCUUUCCAGGGCCCUCUGUUUAAAUCUACUCUGUCCCUUUAAAUCUCCUGUCUGUUUGCUACAAUGUACAGAUCAGAGAUUACAUUCUGAUUCCCCCUUUACUGUUAUCCAGUCCUGCUUGUCUCUGUACCUGUAAUUUAACUUUAUACUUAUCUAGCUCUAUAUGUAACUUAAAUUAAACUAUACUAAGUCUCAUAUUUCUAAAUUGCUAUAUAUCUUUAAAUGAUGGUAAACAUUUAAAGUCAUAAAGUUCUAAUCUACCUUUACUUAAAAUAUAAGCUAAGUCUAUACAACUUAAAUUUAACUCAUGUAUCUUUAAGUGAUGAUGAAAAUUUAAAAUUAUAAAGAUCUAUUUCAAAUUAACAAAAUAUUUAUACCACUCAGUUUAUCCUGUAAGCCGUUUACAAAGAUACAGCUUUUAUUACAAAAAGGUAUUUUUUCUCUAACUAAAGACAAACUUAACUGCUAAGAUACUAAACAGACAGCCCUCAAAUGCUCAGAGAUCUAGAGAAUAUGGCAUUUAAAAUGUUUUGUUAAAAAGCUUUUUGUAACAGAGAGAUAGGCCAGCUGCUGGCCCCACCCCAUUUCCUCCGAGAAGACUGGGCACUGAAGAAACUUCAUCUCAGUGACAACGCUGGUCACUGAGCAACCCUGCCCUUCACCUCAACUGGUACAAAGUAUUCCAGACCAUGGACAAGAGGACAACGGAAUCGACUUUCCCGGCGUUGCUUGGGCCAACGGUAGGCGAGUCUUCCCAAAGUCUCUAAUCCACAGGUCGCAAGUUAUCAGCAAGAAGGCAGGUAUCCUGCAGCCCACUACUAUGGAUGGAGCACCUUGGGGAUGGCUGUCCAUGCAGCCUGCUGGCAAGUCUCUGUUAUUCUUUAAUCAUUGAUUCAGGUAAAAUCUUAUCCUUCUCAAGAACUCUGAUGCUUUUGACGACUAAUAGUCUUGCCAGCUUAAAGCAAAACAUUCCAGUAACAGGUAUUUUAGGGUUUAUCUAUGUAAAGAUAGGAAAGUCUAAGAUGUAUAAAAGUCUGAGAAUGUAGUUACAAAGGCCUGAGGAUAAAAAGGCUUAAAUGAUGAUAAUGAGUUGAGACAUUAAAAAGAAUAAAAAAUGUUCCUGAUUUCUCUAUUUCUCAUGCUACUGUUCAUAGUAAAGUUCAACAAUACCACUAUAUGAUCAUAACUACAAGGUCAAGAUUAUGAUACUUUUCAUUGUCAAAAAAAAAUCUGUCUGUUUUAAAAUGGUAAUGCUUUUAGCCAAGUUGCUUCUAACAUGAAUAUGCUACUAAUGUGUCUAAUACUUAUGUUUCCACAAACUCUAAGGAUUCUUGUAAGUUCCAGGGAGCCGAAUCAGAUCCAAACAGGUCAGAUUCACUCCAGGUAAUAUUCAACCUUUCCCCAGUCCCAAAUUCCCUUCUCUCAUCUUGGGACUCCUCGGGAACCCCUCCCUCAUCUUACAAUCUUCCCCUCAAGUGACAGGACCUAAGAAAAUUUUUUUUUCUAAUCUCAACCUUGUCUUCUGCUCUGUCAACAUCUUGCCAGGUCUAAGAGGCGCCAGGGAGUUGCAUACAGCCUGGACUACAAUGAAACAACCAGCUUCCCCAGGACGUGGCAGCACCCCAACCUUCUCGGGUCCCCCAAAGAUGGUCAACGCCCCCACGUCAGCAGGAAGCAGUCUUAAGAAUUCGACGCCCUUAUUCCUUAACCUGCCAUGUCUAAACACCCCACCUUUUUUAAUAAUAAGUAGAGGUGGGAAUGAAAGGUUCAGGCAUUAUGCUGGCCUGCCCCUGUUACCUGGUGGAAUCCACUCAGGCAAUACCCUGGUCAGCCCAAGGUUCCAUGGGAAAGAAGUCUGCACACAGGUGCAGAGGACCCCUUUAAAAGAUAGGCCCCUGCACCUUUCUCUCUCUCUCUCUGCCCCUUUACGCUCGCGCUCUCUCUCUCUCUCCCCCUGUUCCUGCUCUCUGUCCCCUCUCUCUGUUUCCCCGCUCUGUCUCUCUAUGGCGACCGGCCAUGGCGGUCAGCCAUUACCCUGUUCCUCUUCUUAGUCUCCCCAUUCUACCGGGCCAUAUAAUAAACUUAUAGUCAAUAUGUCUGUCUCAAUAUUUCUCUUUUCUUCUUUUUAAACAAAAGAAUAACACUUAGAGCUUGUGUGUAUGCUUGUGGAGGGAGGGCUCCAGUGAAUCUUGUUAGUUUCAGUGACUUCCUGAAGAAUAUGGAGUUGUUUACUCUUGAACUUCCUGCAGUAUGCAAUGUUUCACUUCAUCUCCCUUUUAACAUCCUGUCUUAACUUCCCUCUAGAACACCCGUUGUUUGGCUUCCUCUUAAAUCCUGUGUGCUAAUGAAAGUCCCUCCAAUAUGGAAUGUUUUAACUUCCCAGGAACAGUUAUACAACAGUACCUCUCUCAUGAGAAUCUUGGCACCUAUGGGGACGUGUGGGGGAGGAGUGGGUGCCCUUCCAGGUUCUGCUUAACAUGAUUAAUGUACCAAACUGCCAUGUUUAAAGCCAGUAUAUCCCAAACCCAUCAUACCUAAGAUGCAAGCCUCAGGAUCCAAAACAGUGACUGCAAAGGCUAAUGCUUACAUUGAAGGAACCGGCUUCCCUUUUGGCAGCCAUAACAGCCGAACACAUGCUUGCCAUAAACCUGCCUUGGUCACGUAGAGGUCAGAUGCCUGUCUCGUGACAAGGAACCAAUCGGAAGUUAGCUGGUGGCGCUAUGCUUUACGACCCUGGGUGUGCUUUACGGACAAGCGCACGACAAUGACGUAGAGAGCAUAGCAACCACCCUGGGAGGGCCUAUGGGCCAUAACAACCAGUUGACCAAUCAACACAGGGCAAGCCCUCCAAGCCUGGAGGCACACCAAUCGUGAGCCUGUGCGUACCCCUAGACACUCCCCUUACGCUGCCCUAUAAGAUCUUUUGGGAGACCCAAGGAGCCGUCUUUUCUAGCUGUCCGCCAUGGUGGGUGGUUGAAAGACCCGAGCUAACAUGGGGUUAGCUCGUUAAAUUACAAUAAAGCCUCGUGCAGUUUGCAGCAAGCUCUCGAAUCCGCCUGGUGAUUGGGGUGACCGCGAACCUGGCCUAAGACCCCGGACACUUGAGUUUUCGGGGGUCUAACAACAUCUAUACAAAGGAAUGAGUUUGUAUUCACUAUACAGUUUUCUCCCAAGUUUAUAUGUCCAAAGUUUAUUAUGAAAACAGCAAUCCCCUGAACUCUGGAAUGCCCGUCCCCUAAGAAAUGCCAUUAUCCAUUAGUGCAGUGGUCGCGUUGUUUGAUAUUUAUCUCAUUGUUUUUCCUUGGUUCUCUUGGUCUCCAUACAAGGCACAAGUUUGUGGGUUCCCUCCCUACGCUAUGCCAGGAGAGCCAGCAAGGAACCUCAGGCAACCGCUGAACAGCUCCUAUGUUCUGUCUUUAGUCUUGGCCAAAGCUGGCUCCUGCGGACGGAUGAGGUUCCUGAGCUCUGUCCUUCUCCCAGCAACCACCCGAAAACAAUCAGCAAAAUAAGAUCAUGAAUGAAACAAGUCGACUGCAGAAGGGCAACCGUAGCCUUUGCUCCAGCCUGCACCGCAAAACUUGCUCCCAGGUACCAAAGGGCAGCUGUGACCAUGUUUCCUGCUAUAUAUAGUUCACCUGCGCAGGGGCCAGAGGCCAGGGGUUUCUGAGAGCUCCAUUUCUGGUGACUGUCAGAGGACCCAGGGAGCCCAGGCAUGGACGCCCUAGUGCGGUGUGGGCAAUUUUGCUCUCUCCGGCCUUUCUGCACUGGCUCAGGACCUGGGACCUUGCUGACCCGGACUCACACUUUGGACGGAAGGCUUAAAUUUUACUUAAAUGGAAGAAAACAACUUUCUCCCAAGGAAAACAUAAAGAUCUCACCUAGAUUUGAAGUCGGACCAUCUGGAUUCAAAGUCCAGAGUGCUCACAAUUAUACCACGGAAUCUUCACAGUGUAGCCACCAUUUAAUCACUCCUGGCCUGUGUAAUGGACAGACAAGCCACCACCCAAUCUUUCCUACUGACUGUCCUACUACUGUAUUUCAUCUACACCUGCGAAAAUGAGACCAAGUCCCCUCAACUCAGAGCUGGGAAGGACUCCUUCCGGCCUCCACCAUCCGUCUCAGAUUGCUACUCCUUGUCCCCGUGACAGUUCUUCCAAUAAAUGGUGUUAGUAUUCUUGUCUUUUGCCCUUUUUCCACCUCCCAGGAACACCAAGAGCAGGAUUUGGUGGUUCCUGCCUUCUUUGGUCACCUAGCAGUCACAAUGGCGCUCUACCACUUCCUAUACUAUAUAAAGUGGAUCAGCAAUGUAGGGGAAGUUUGGAUUCAGGGGAACCCUUUUUGUUGUUUGUUUGUUUGUUUGUUUGUUUUUUACAAGACAGAAUUUAUCCGUGUAGCUUUGGAGCCUGUCCUGGAACUUGGUCUGUAGACCAGGCUGGCCUUGAACUCAGAGAGCUCCACCUGCCUCUGCCUCCCGAGUGCUGGGAUGAAAGGUGUGCACCACUGCCUGGCUCAUAUUUUUAUUCAGAUAUACACAUUUGUGUACCUUUGGUGGGUUUUAUGUUUCUUAUAAUGAAUGUCUUCUUCUCCUUCUCCUUCUCCUCCUCCUUCUCCUUCUUCUUUUUUUUUGAGACAGGGUUUCUCUGUGGCUUUGGAGGCUGUCCUGGAACUAGCUCUUGUAGACCAGGCUGGUCUCGAACUCACAGAGAUCCGCCUGCCUUUGCCUCCGAAGUGCUGGGAUUAAACACCCGCAUGAAUGUCUAUUUUUAAAAUUAAAAAAAUAACCUUUGCCUUCACCUUUAAUUCUAGCACUUGAGAAGUACAAGCAGGUGCAUCUCUUUAAGUUCCUAGCCAGCCAGGGCUACACAGGGAGAGGUCUCAAAAAUCAAA